rnacentral:misc_RNA from 1 species
GAUGAAGAACGCAGCGAAAUGCGAUAAGUAGUGUGAAUUGCAGAAUUCCGUGAAUCAUCGAAUCUUUGAACGCACAUUGCGCCUUCUGGUAUUCCGGAAGGCAUGCCUGUUCGAGAGUCAUUAACAACCGUUUCGAUCCCUUUCUUUCAGAAAUUACAAAGAGGAAACGGGUUUGGUUAUGGUGGAGGAGGGAAAGGGAGCGUUUAGCCUGUAAAAAAAGAGGCUGUGUUCCGCCUCCCCCCCAAAAUUGUACAGGCGGUCGUGUGCGCCCACGCAUCGAGGUGUUGUAAAAGCUGCCACGGCACUUUUCACCUGUGCAGUGCGAGAUUGGCCAGCCGGUUUAAAAACCCCUCCAAACAAUCAAAGGUUGACCUCGGAUCAGGUAGGGAUACCCGCUGAACUUAAGCAUAUCAAUAAGCGGAGGA